CAUCGUAUGUAUAAUAUGCCACUUCAGCGAGGAUAGUGUACAAAUUAUAUAACAGCAUUUACUACCUCUUAUAUGAAUCAUUAAAUCGAACAAAACAAAACAUCUUGACUUUCCAUUGAUAGGUUGCAAGCAUACUAUUACCUUGCCCCGCUUUCCUUCAGCCUAAAGGUAUAUUGAUUUUUGGGUUCUUCUUCCUACUUUUCUCUAAAUCAACAUGUACACCCUCGCAUGCAUUUAUUGACUCUUCUUUCUCCAUGCUUUUACUAAUUGUUUGAUUACUGUCCUUUAAUUAAAGAUGUUGGUGCAGAAUCAUAAUCUACCUCAUUAAUAGGUUAUGGGCUUCGCUAGUCUUCUCCCAAUAACGCACUUUACUGGCAAAACAACAGCCGAUCAGCAUGUCCACGUCUGUACCUGGUGCCAACUCAUGCCAAUAUUAGAUCGCAUGGCCAAGAACCAGACAGUAAAAACAUUGAAAAAGUCCAAAAAGUCUCAACUUAUGCUGGGAUCCAAUCCAUGCGGGCCACUUUUCUUCGAACGUCAUAGAACUUUACCAACGAAGUCCGAGGGCACCCAUAAUGCGUUGUGGAAACUAUGAUUAUCA
rnacentral:lncRNA from 1 species